GAUGAACGCUGGCGGCGUGCUUAACACAUGCAAGUCGAACGAAGCAUUUGCGACAGAUUUCUUCGGAUUGAAGUUGCUUAUGACUGAGUGGCGGACGGGUGAGUAACGCGUGGGUAACCUGCCUCACACAGGGGGAUAGCAGUUGGAAACGGCUGAUAAUACCGCAUAAGCGCACAGUACCGCAUGGUACAGUGUGAAAAACUCCGGUGGUGUGAGAUGGACCCGCGUCUGAUUAGCUUGUUGGCAGGGUAACGGCCUACCAAGGCAACGAUCAGUAGCCGACCUGAGAGGGUGACCGGCCACAUUGGGACUGAGACACGGCCCAGACUCCUACGGGAGGCAGCAGUGGGGAAUAUUGCACAAUGGAGGAAACUCUGAUGCAGCGACGCCGCGUGAGUGAAGAAGUAAUUCGUUAUGUAAAGCUCUAUCAGCAGG
rnacentral:rRNA from 1 species